GGAGAGUUGGCAGAGUGGUCGAUUGCGGCGGUCUUGAAAACCGUUGAGGCGAAAGUCUCCGGGGGUUCGAAUCCCUCACUCUCCG
rnacentral:tRNA from 1 species